CUUUCCUCUUGAGCUGGUUCAUCUGGAUUGAAAGAUGAAUUGGACUGUGAAAGAUAAGCAUCUAAAUAGGCGCAUGGUUCUAGACAUUUUUUAUUCGCAUCCCCAUAUUUUACCUGUGUAUCUCCAUUGGGGGUGGUUAAAAGAUUAAACUGCCCCGGGCCACCGUUUCCCUUGCCGUCGUUACCUCCUUGCCGUCGUCGUCGCUGUUCCCUUGCCAUCGCUGCUCCAUGUCUCGUUGCCGCCCUUGUCUAUUUGUUGUGUUAAGGAAUACUGACUAUCACGAAUGGCUGCUUCUAACAUGGCUACAAUGCAAACUACCACUGAAAAGGUAUUAUUCAAGAAGCUUCCAUGUGAUAUGAUUGAAUCAACAAUCUGCACGAAAGGACAAAUAACAACGAUGUGGUUGAGAUUCAAAAGCAGAAUAGAGGUGGUUUUCUGAUGUGCGAUGGGGAUACAACAGUAAGGCUUUGGUACGACUAGUUUGAAUUACCAACAAAAUUCCUCACGAGCAAUUUUGAAGAACUGACCUUGCUAUUGUCAAUCUUUGAUGGUGAUGGUGGUGAUCGUGCAUAUUAAAGCAUAUGGGGCAUUUUGUUGGUGGUAUUUCAGAGGUGACGUUGAUGCCCAAUACUCAAGGAACUCACUUUCUAUCUAACUUUGCAGAAAAUCCUGAACUCCACAAGAUAAUUUGGAACUGAAUUACUAUUUUCUCUUUCUUUUAUUAUGGAUUACAUUUAAAAACAUUUUAAAGCCAUCCUUUAUGAAAUAAAUGUCAAUGUUCUAUAUGAAAUAAAUGUCAAUGCUGUUUACUCUAGGAGCUUGUUUCAGCCAUUAAAAAACUUUCUUUAGUUUAUAAAUCUUCUCUUCUUGGCCUUCAGUCCAAAGCUUUGAGGUUGCUCAAACCU